rnacentral:rRNA from 1 species
UACGUAGGGUGCGAGCGUUAAUCGGAAUUACUGGGCGUAAAGGGUGCGCAGGCGGCGUCGCAAGUCAGGCGUGAAAUCCCCGGGCUCAACCUGGGAAUGGCAAUGGAUACUGGAUAGCUAGAGUGUGAUAGAGGAUGGUGGAAUUCCCGGUGUAGCGGUGAAAUGCGUAGAGAUCGGGAGGAACACCAAUGGCGAAGGCAGCUCGCUGGGACGUGACUGACGCUGAGGAGCGAAAGCGUGGGGAGCGAACAGG